rnacentral:lncRNA from 1 species
GUUUGCUGCUGCAGAUUCAGUGUCUGGGGGUUGGGAUAUGCCAGGAGACUUGUAGACACUCUUGUGGGAUUUUGGCAAGAAAUACUAGGAUCCACAAUGCUGUGGUGAAAUUCCUGAGGAUGAUGACUAGUCUUGAGAGGGAUGUGGACACGUCAAUGUCUAGUGUGUGUGAGUGGGUGGGACUCCUGUGGUGGCAGCUGCAAGAAAAGGGGGUCUGUCAUCAGAGGUCCUUUCCUCUAAGUUUUCAGUCCACAGUCACCCUGGGAGGAGACCUGGAAUCACAAGACAAUGGGCAGUGUGACAGCCUGUGUACAGGAGAGCAGAGCCUCCCCUUCCCAGACACCCAGAGUUCCAUUCGAGGCCAGGCCUCUGUGAUAUCUUUUUUCUGGUAUCAAAUCUAUAGAGUUUGCUGAACACAAAGCAAUUCUCCAGCACCUACUCAUUAUCUGAAAUUUGAAUUCUGACACCACCCAGAGUCAGCACAGACCCCGAUUCAGGGUUCAGUCCCACAACACUGCCCUCAUUACAGAUGCCAGUCACAAACCCCAUAGGCCCACCUAUGCUUCUGAGCUACUGUUUAAAAUUUGGGGAUUCCCAUAACCUCCCUCUAGUUCAAUAAUUUGAUAGAGCUACUCACAGAACCCAGCAAACUCUGUAGUUUAUUAUAAAAGAUACAACCCAGAAGAAGUCAAAUGAAAGAAAUGUAUAGGACAAAAAAAGAGGUGGGGAAAAAUGAAACACAUACAUAAUCCUGGAAAAUAGCUGUGAUUAAUAAAAGUCAUCCUUUGUGUGCUCCAGCAACAGUUUAUGAAAAGAAACACUUUUUUUCCCCCUCAGAUGGAGUCUUGCUCUGUCGCCAGGGUGGAGUGUAGUGGCAUGAUCUCGGCUCACUGCAACCUCCGCCUGCCGGUUCAAGCGAUUCUUCUGCCUCAGCCUCCCAAGUAGCUGGGACUACAGGCACACACCACCACGCCCAGCUAAUUUUUGUAUUUUUAGUAGAGACAGGGUUUCACCAUCUUGGCCAGGCUGGUCUUGAACUCCUGACCUCGUGAUCCUCACGCCUCAGCCUCCCAGUGUUGGGAUUACAGGUGUGAGCCACCAUGCCCAGCCAAAAACACCCUUCUUAUUAUGACUUAGAAGACACUCCCUUUUCUUACCUAUCACAUAGCCAGAUACAUACUGUACACAUUUUCUUCCUUUUCUCAUUAAAAAAAUGAGCUGAAUUUGUCUUCACUGGUCUAAAUAAAAUACUUUUUUUUUUUUGAGACACUUUUGAUCUUGUUGCCCAGGCUAGAGUGCAAUGGCGUGAUAACAGCUCACAACAACCUCCACCUCCUGGAUUCAAGGGAUUCUCCUGCCUCCGCCUCCUGAGUAGCUGGGAUUACAGGCAUGCACCACCACGCCUGGCUAAUUUUGUAUUUUUAGUAGAGAUGGGGUUUCUCUGUGUUGGUCAGGCUGGUCUCAAACUCCUGACCUCAGGUGAAAUGCCCAUCUCAGCCUCCCAAAGUGCUGGGAUUACAGGUGUGAGCCACCACGCACAGAAAUAAAAUACUUCUUAAUCAAACUUAAGUUUAUUUUUUUCCCACAGGCUCCUGAACUUUGAGCUACCCUGAGUGUGAGUCAACAUACAACCCCAUUUUAUGUCCCUCCUAUGAACAUGCUGACUUCAGGGUAAAACAUUAUCUGAUCUAAAAUCUGAUUUUUUUCACACUCCAUUUGCCACUCCCCUCCCACCUUUUUUCUAAUCUUUUAUGCUCCUCCCUAGGAAACAAAGCCUUUGUCUGCCUAAACUUUGCAAGCCAUAAAGAUGAUAUAGUUGGUACUUCCUCCUGUUGCAAUAUUCCUUUGGAAUUCAAUUUUUUUUUUUACACAAAUCUAACUUUGUUUUAUUUUACAAAGUCUAGACAGUGCCUCAAAACAAUAAAAAACUUUAUCAUC